AGAGCGAACGCUGGCGGCAGGCUUAACACAUGCAAGUCGAGCGCCCCGCAAGGGGAGCGGCAGACGGGUGAGUAACGCGUGGGAACGUACCUUUUGGUUCGGAACAACACAGGGAAACUUGUGCUAAUACCGGAUAAGCCCUUACGGGGAAAGAUUUAUCGCCGAAAGAUCGGCCCGCGUCUGAUUAGCUAGUUGGUGAGGUAACGGCUCACCAAGGCGACGAUCAGUAGCUGGUCUGAGAGGAUGAUCAGCCACAUUGGGACUGAGACACGGCCCAAACUCCUACGGGAGGCAGCAGUGGGGAAUAUUGGACAAUGGGCGCAAGCCUGAUCCAGCCAUGCCGCGUGAGUGAUGAAGGCCCUAGGGUUGUAAAGCUCUUUUAACGGGGAAGAUAAUGACGGUACCCGUAGAAUAAGCCCCGGCUAACUUCGUGCCAGCAGCCGC
rnacentral:rRNA from 1 species